UGGGGAAUAUUGCACAAUGGGCGCAAGCCUGAUGCAGCCAUGCCGCGUGUGUGAAGAAGGCCUUCGGGUUGUAAAGCACUUUCAGCGAGGAGGAAGGUGGUGAGCUUAAUACGCUCAUCAAUUGACGUUACUCGCAGAAGAAGCACCGGCUAACUCCGUGCCAGCAGCCGCGGUAAUACGGAGGGUGCAAGCGUUAAUCGGAGUUACUGGGCGUAAAGCGCACGCAGGCGGUUUGUUAAGUCAGAUGUGAAAUCCCCGGGCUCAACCUGGGAACUGCAUUUGAAACUGGCAAGCUAGAGUCUCGUAGAGGGGGGUAGAAUUCCAGGUGUAGCGGUGAAAUGCGUAGAGAUCUGGAGGAAUACCGGUGGCGAAGGCGGCCCCCUGGACGAAGACUGACGCUCAGGUGCGAAAGCGUGGGGCAGCAAACAGGAUUAGAUACCCUGGUAGUCCACGCUGUAAACGAUGUCGAUUUUGGAGGUUGUGCCCUUGAGGCGUGGCUUCCGGAGCUAACGCGUUAAAUCGACCGCCUGGGGAGUACGGCCGCAAGGUU
rnacentral:rRNA from 1 species